GUUGAAAAAGAUGACGAAACCUGCAGACAGAGAACCUCGACAGCCCUUCCGUGAACUAAAUUAUCAGCAUGGAACACACUGGAGAAAUGAUCUAACUUACUUGUAAUGCUAAGCUUUAAUUAAAAAUUAAGUUUCAAGAUCCUUCAGAAUCCUGCAGCUUACCAUCCUGUUGCGUUGUUCCCAAACAAUAGUCCCGACUUGAAGCUCCCGUUUUCCCCAAACUCAAGUCUCCGUUCAAUUUCUCUGUUCAUGCCAAUUAUUUAAUUCUGUCAUUAUUUCAUGACAAUCUGUUUGUGACAAACCAGAG